rnacentral:rRNA from 1 species
GAUGAACGCUGGCGGCGUGCCUAAUACAUGCAAGUCGAGCGAACGGACGAGAAGCUUGCUUCUCUGAUGUUAGCGGCGGACGGGUGAGUAACACGUGGAUAACCUACCUAUAAGACUGGGAUAACUUCGGGAAACCGGAGCUAAUACCGGAUGAUAUAUUGAACCGCAUGGUUCAAAAGUGAAAGACGGUUUUGCUGUCACUUAUAGAUGGAUCCGCGCUGCAUUAGCUAGUUGGUAAGGUAACGGCUUACCAAGGCAACGAUGCAUAGCCGACCUGAGAGGGUGAUCGGCCACACUGGAACUGAGACACGGUCCAGACUCCUACGGGAGGCAGCAGUAGGGAAUCUUCCGCAAUGGGCGAAAGCUUGACGGAGCAACGCCGCGUGAGUGAUGAAGGUCUUCGGAUCGUAAAACUCUGUUAUUAGGGAAGAACAAAUGUGUAAGUAACUGUGCACGUCUUGACGGUACCUAAUCAGAAAGCCACGGCUAACUACGUG